UGGGGAAGAGAGAGGGACAGAGAGCCUACUUCUUUAAAGGAGCAAAGUGGGAGAGGAGAGGAGCCGCUUACACGAGUGUAAGCGGCUCCUGUCCGGUUGGCUCCUUUAAAGCAAGCAGGCUCUCUGUCCCUCUCUCCUCCCCA
rnacentral:miRNA from 1 species